rnacentral:rRNA from 1 species
UACGUAGGCAGCGAGCGUUGUUCGGAAUUACUGGGCGUAAAGAGUGUGUAGGCGGUGUUCCCAGUCUGUUGUGAAAUCUCCCGGCUUAACUGGGAGGGUGCAGCGGAAACUAGAAUGCUAGAGGGUGGGAGAGGUAAGCGGAAUUCCUGGUGUAGCGGUGAAAUGCGUAGAUAUCAGGAGGAACACCGGUGGCGAAGGCGCCACUCUGGGCCGAAACUGACGCUGAGGAGCGAAAGCGUGGGUAGCAAACAGG